rnacentral:rRNA from 1 species
GAUGAACGCUGGCGGCGUGCCUAAUACAUGCAAGUCGAGCGAACAGACGAGGAGCUUGCUCCUCUGACGUUAGCGGCGGACGGGUGAGUAACACGUGGAUAACCUACCUAUAAGACUGGGAUAACUUCGGGAAACCGGAGCUAAUACCGGAUAAUAUAUUGAACCGCAUGGUUCAAUAGUGAAAGACGGUUUUGCUGUCACUUAUAGAUGGAUCCGCGCCGCAUUAGCUAGUUGGUAAGGUAACGGCUUACCAAGGCGACGAUGCGUAGCCGACCUGAGAGGGUGAUCGGCCACACUGGAACUGAGACACGGUCCAGACUCCUACGGGAGGCAGCAGUAGGGAAUCUUCCGCAAUGGGCGAAAGCCUGACGGAGCAACGCCGCGUGAGUGAUGAAGGUCUUCGGAUCGUAAAACUCUGUUAUUAGGGAAGAACAAAUGUGUAAGUACUAUGCACGUCUUGAUGGUACCUAAUCAGAAAGCCACGGCUAACUACGUG